AACGUAGGGGGCCAGCGUUGCUCGGAAUUACUGGGCGUAAAGGGUCCGUAGGCGGUGUGGCAAGUCGGAAGUGAAAUCUCUGGGCUUAACCCAGAGGCUGCUCCCGAAACUGCCAUGCUAGAGUGCGAGAGAGGCGAGUGGAAUUGCGGGUGUAGCGGUGAAAUGCGUAGAUACCCGUAGGAACAUCCGAGGCGAAGGCGGCUCGCUGGAUCACAACUGACGCUGAGGGACGAAAGCUAGGGGAGCAAACAGG
rnacentral:rRNA from 1 species